rnacentral:piRNA from 1 species
UGGCCACUGCCUUCACACACAAAUGUCCAAC